CAGUGAUUGGCUCAAGGGCAAACACGUGAUCAUCCAUGGCGGUCAAAAGCGCCCCAGUGCCCCAAGUCUAGCCUCACCUGCCACCUAGUCCCAAGUGCUGCCUGAGGUGGUUCAACGCCCUGUCUUUAAUCAGUGGCUUUGGCUUUUUAAAAUUUUGAUAACAUGGAUGUGUUCAAAGAUAAGGGCUCUAUCCAUGAUUUCUAGCAGUAUCUGCCACCAGGCUUGACAUCUGUGGUGGACGCCUUCUACUAUGUGACAAGUAUUACAAACUCAUUUCAUCUCCAGAACAACCCUGUGAGGCGCUCCAAGGACGAUAUUUUCAGGCCUGGCACUUGGCAGCCAUCUUGGACCAUGAAGUGGCUGUGAAGAUGGAAGCCAUCCAGAGUGUAGCAGAGACAGGAAAGGUGUGCGGUCCCGGAUGACUUCAUGGAGCUUCCACAUCAGCCACAGACUGUCUCCCCAACUCCAAACCCCCAACUCCACCCCAAUCCAGACCACUCUCAUUGUUUACCAAGAAUAUUCUGGUCUCCCUGCUCCCACCCUCACGCUGACGUGCAGCCAGAGUCUGUUAGCCUCCAAGUCAGGCCGAGUGCCUCCUCUGCUCAGAACCUUCCAGGGACUUCCCAUCUCAGCCGAGUCAGAGCUCAAGACCCCACCAUGCCCCACAAGACCCUAUCUACCUACCUAUCUAUCUAGAUAAUAGAAUAUGAAGAGAAUAUACAAUAGAAUAUAUAUAUAUGUUAUCUGUAUUGUGUGUGUAUAUAUGUACAUAUAUAUACAUAGAAAGAGAGAGAUUGGAGGAAUUGGCUGACACGAUUGCGGGGACAGGCAGCCAGGCAGGGGUUGACGCUGCAGUCUUGAGUCCAAAGGGUGGAAACUCAGGCGUAAUUUCGAGGUCACGCUUUGGAGGCAGAAUUUCUUACUCUUUGAGGGACCUCAACCUUUACUCUUAAGGCCUUCAGCUGACUGCGUGUGGCCCAGCCCCCUCGUGGAGGGUAAUCUGCUUGGCUCAGAGUCUACCAAUUUGAAUUUUAAAUGUUAAUCACAUCUAAAAGAUUAACUUCGCAGCAACAGCAAUCGAGAUGGCGUGUGACCAGACAGAUGGGCACCCUCACCAGCCGAGUCAACACAAGCGAAGCCACGAGGAUGCCCCGUUGCCUGUGCUAGCUGACGUGGGUCCCCGUGGCAGAUGCUGUUUGUCCCUUCCCACGAAGCCCAGGACUUGCAGUGCUCUGCACAUUUCCAACUGCGCCUCUGUGCCUGAGCACGUUUCUUUGGAACCAUGGAAGGCUGUUCCGCCUUUCUGGCAAGCUAGAAAUGCCAAAGAUGCGUCACCCAGAGGGAGUAGCUCUUGACUGUGACUCUCUUAGUUGGUGGAAAAAUACCCCAGGCCCCUUCCCCCCAGCAGGGUGGCUCUGCCUCUUUCCCAGGUAGUGCCCCCCAGGAUCCAGCCCCACUGCCCACGGUGGUCACUUGCUGGACGUUGCUGUGCCUUGGCUGACGUCCCUCUCCUGUCUCGUCUCCCCACUCCCUGACCAGUGUCACUGGACCACCUUCCAAAAAAGCUGCACACCAUUGAAUCCUUGCCCAAAGCCAUCUUCUGGGGGACUCCAGCUUGGAGGCUCCCUCCCCUUUGCCUGUCACUCUGUCACAUGCCUUCCUUCAUCUUAUUACCAUUACAGCUCUUAUCAGACCUCAAAUCAUCUUGUGCCUAGGACUGCUGCCUUCCAGCUGCUCAGUAGAAGGCCAGCUCCAGGAGGGCAGGGACACGCUGCUCCCCUGCUGUGGCUUCAGGUCCAGCACAGAGGACACACGAUCAAUAUUCACUGAAGGAACCAAUGAACAAAGGGACGAAUAGAGGCUCACCCUGGCACCGUGAUUAGAUUCAGCCCCAAACUCACCUGUCCCAUUUUUUCCUGCCACCUCUGAGACGUAAUCUGAAGAUGUGAUUUGUGCCAGUGGGUGAUUUCUUUUUAGGUGAGACAUGCGGAUGUCAACAAGAAAUGUCCAUGCUCGGAAUCCUUUAACCUGGGAAGUCACUCUGGCCAAGAUCAUAAAGUGAUGGUGAUGGGGUGGGAGGGAUGAGGACGAGGAUAAGGAAGGCCUCCUGGAUGCAGUGAGGGGACGGGGUGCUGCCCUGGGACUCAGCACAGGGCCAGGGCCAAGUGCAUGCUCAGCUUCUGCCCCUGGUCCGAUCCUGGGCAAGUCUCUACACCUCCUCCCGAGCCUACAAACCUAUACGUGGGGAUCGUGGGUUCCGACGGUACAAAGUUCUGGUGCUUUGUAAAUUACAAAGUCUUUGCUCACCGAGGGGAUGGACUAUGGGUGCAGGCGGAGGGGUCCUGCCUGUCUCACGUGAGCUGCUUGGGCUGCAAGUAACAGAAAAUACGACUAGAAGUGGAUUGUGUGAUGACGCCAGUGCGCCAGCUCACUUACCACUGUCUGAGCUCACCUGGGUGGCAGGGCUGCUGCCUGGUGUGUCCUCUCUAAGAGGUGGGAAGGACCUGGGCUGCCCUUUUUUCUCUACGGCACCCCCAGAGCACAGAGAAGGCACAGAGAAGGCGUCCAACGAGAAUUCCAUCCGGGUCCUGGCUAACCCUCACAACUGCGUAGUCUUUCAAGUGUGCUCCCCCCCAUAGCAGCUAAAGAAACUAAAGCUCAGAGAAGGUAAAUUGCCUGCUCGAAACCUCAACACAGAGGACAGAGCCCGCGUGCCCUAUGCGGGGCACGGCCACACCCCUGAGCACCCUGCUCCCCGGCUCUCCUCCCAGGGCCUUUUUCUGACCAGGUUAGCCCCUGCCUCCAGGAGCGUGGGGUCGGCCAGCCCCGCCCCAGCCAGCACAGACGACUGCCAGAGACGGAAGUCCACCAACCCCCUCGUUUUGAUCAUUGCACUGAGGACAUAAAUUCAGCAGCAUGUGCUUGGUCAGCUGCCCCAUUUUUCUCCUAAGUAGCAAAUUUAUGGGGCACACAUGCACACGGGUGAUUAUUUCCCAAUAGUUUAUAGUAUCAAGGCUCCUUUAUUUCCCCCCAAUAAAUCUAAUUUAUAUGGAUUGGCAGAUCAAACAGUGCAUUUCCUGGCAUCAGGAGGCCGUGAAUCAUUCGUGACGCUUUAGGAAACUUGGGGAGAUUAAGGUUUUGCAUAAUGCAAAUGGGAAUGGAAACAUAUUUGCUCUGCCUCACUGUGGAUGCAAUUAGAGCAAUGAACACCAGGAGAAAUUCUUUCUCCCAGGACAGAGAAAGGUCUGCUUGGUAUGCAAGAGAGCACAGUUACUUGUGACACUAGAGCCCGGAACAUGGUUAGCAAAGCGCCCAGUGACGGUUUGAUUUGCAGCUUUAAGGAAUUCAAGGAUGAAUAAAACAUUGAAUUAAUUGCCAAAGAACUAUCGCCAGCCUGCAUGAGAUCUAAGCACCCUGGCAAGUGUAACACACACACACACACACACACACACACACACACACGCAAACAUGUGCAAGACACAAAGAAAUAAACGUGUGCAAGACACAAAGAAACAAACCAAGACUGGGCCUCGGGUGUUCAUGCUCCAGAUCCCCGAAACAGCAUUUAGUUUUGGGUAUUUUGUUCUACCUGGAAGUUUCUCUCAUCAAGACUCUGCCUCCCUCGGCCCCACCUCAAGUUCUCCGAGCCAGAAAGCCCUCUCUGCCUGCCCUGGCCUGGGGUGGGGAGGGGUGCUUGUUGGCUGCCUCUGUUCCCUCAUUCAUGGAGCAGAUAGGUGCUGAGCACCUGCUGUGUGCCAGGCACCCACUGUCCCGAGUGCUGGGGACACAGCUGAGAACAGCCUGGUCCACGCUCCCUGCCCUGGCGCUGCCUCCCUGUGGGCGUGAGACAACAAGCAGAACAGAGGCGCUGCUGUAGGGGAAGGUGCCGAGUGCCACCCAGGACACAAAACAGGGAGGGUGGGGGGCACAGAGGAAACGCCAGGAGGUGGGAUCAGCUGCAGGUCUAGGCAGGGGCUUGGGCAGGCCUGAGAUGGUGACAUUCGCAGAGACCCGAGGAGGGCGAGGUAGGAACCACGAGGAACGUUGGGGAGGGGCAAGAGCGUGGGGCAGUCUCACAGGCAGGAGCUCUGGGUGCUGCAGAAACCCAGAGGCCAGAGUGGCUAAGUCUGGGGCAGGGAGAGGGUGAGGAGUCCAGACAAGGAGCAGGGAGGGUCAAGGUCAUAUAAGACCCUUCAUUCGUUCAUUCAUAUAUUCACCUCCUUAUACAUUCAUUCAUACUUUGAGGCCCUACUGUGAAGCAGGGCCUGCCGUGUUAGACACUGGGAAUCUAGCAGGAGACGUGACAGGCAAGGUCCCUGCUCUCAGGAGGCUGUAGCACAGGGUGAGGAAAUCGUGACUGACACAGAGGCGGGAGGUAAGUCACUUUCCUAGGUGGGCAGGAAGCCCAAUCACCACCCAUCUCAGACCCACGAUCCCGGCAGAACUCUCUCCUGUUUGCUCUUGAGUGACUCUGUCACCUCCAUAAGCCCAUUUAGCAGAUGAGAAAACCGAGGCUCCUUAGGGGCAGGGAUCCUGGCUUCUGCUUUUUGGCCUCUCCCCAUACAGUCUGGGAAUUGGGGGAGUGGAAUCAACUCUCUUCUUCCUCUCCCAGGGCUUGGUCAAGGCUUUGGGGAGGUUCAUAGACAAGAAGCAUCUUGUGGCAUCUCCGAUCUGGGAGGGCCACGACCAGACGCUGGGCCUGGGCUGCUGCUCGCCGAGGAGCAGCUGGACUCUGGAAUGGAGAGUGCCCGGCCUGGAAGGGGAGGCCCCAGCUCCCAUCACUGUGGGGGUGAGCGUGAGGGCUCCUGGGACCACGAGCCGGGCCUCCUCCCCUGGCCCCAGUGGG